UAUCCUGGCAGCAGCUGAUUCUACAGCUGCAGAAGUGGCCGCCAUUUCCUGCUCCACGAGAUCUCCCAGCUCUCCUUGCUGCAGCUCCAGACCCCGAGGACGCAGUUUCUGCAUCCAAGAUUGAAGACAUCAAAGCAUUUCCUGCCGACACGCUGCUUACACGAGGAAAAGCGGCCGUGGCUGAGGACAGCGGAAGCCACGCCCCCAGAGGCUUGACGAACCGCUGGACAUCCGUGUAAACAGGGCGUUCAAAGUGAAGUGAGCGGCGUGGGAGCCAUGGAUGACAGAUGGCAAACAGCUUUACUAAGACUAGGAGGCAGUGCCGGCUUUCGCACGGCAACGAGACUGACUCAAACCUGGCGUGUUUGAUUGAGAACUUGCCCAGCUGUUCAUUUCGGAUACAGAAGAUGAGGACUUUGAUGGAUUUGUGGAUGAGGAUUGAUCAAAAAAUAACGUGACU